UGUCUAGAGAUGAGAAUCGAACCCACAGUGUUCCGCUUACCAGGCAGAUGCCAUGUCCACUAGGCUAUAGUCAUAGAU